AUAGGAGUCCCAAGUUGACACCUGCCACAUUCUUGGCUCAGAACAGCUGUGGCUGGGAAGGUCCAUGGGCCAGGGAGCGGGUGAUGAAGGACUUCAGCAUCUUUAUCAGCGCCCCCCCACACAGACGGCAGCUGCGGCCUAGCCCCCAGGCUUCACUUGGCGUGGACAACUUGCUAAGUAAAGUGGGGGGUGGGCCACGGCUGGCUCCUACCUGGACAGGCCUCCAGCUAACUCCGGGCUUGCACAGCAAAUACAAGAAAAAAAGAAACAGAAAAAUCAGUUCAUGUGCCCUUUCCUGACUUCUCCUGGCACCUACAGCCCUGACUGCAGAGAUGGUCCCGUGGUCCCAAGACAGAGGCUGGAGAAUUCCUCCUAGGACCCUGACUUAUGCACCAAGAGAGAGGUUCUCAAACUAUACUGUGCAUCAGAAUCACACAGAAGAUGAAGAACAUGAGUCUUAGAGAAGUCAAAGAAGUUGCCUAAGGUCACAUGAGCAGUGAGCAGAGGAGUUGCUUACCUUUGUUAGACUCCAAAUCCUGUGUGACUAUGAAACUCAUUAACUGAAACAACCCGGCACCUUUGGACCUGUGCAGGCAAAGGCAAGGGAGUUGACCAGGAGCACACAGCACAGACGAGAACAGUCCCAAAGCCUUUUGCUGUAUCCCAUCUGUGCAAACCACUCCCAAUAAACAAACAAACACA
rnacentral:lncRNA from 1 species